rnacentral:rRNA from 1 species
UACGAAGGGUGCAAGCGUUAUUCGGAAUCACUGGGCGUAAAGGGUGUGUAGACGGUACAUUAAGUUCGUCGUUAAAGGCUCCGGCCUAACCGGAGUAUUGCGAUGAAAACUGGUGAGCUAGAGGGUGAGAGAGAGAAGUGGAAUUCCCGGAGUAGCGGUAAAAUGCGUGGAUCUCGGGAGGAACACCAAUGGCGAAGGCAGCUUCUUGGCUCAUUCCUGACGUUGAGGCACGAAAGCGUGGGGAGCAAACAGG